UGCGUAGGUGGUUUCUUAAGUCAGAGGUGAAAGGCUACGGCUCAACCGUAGUAAGCCUUUGAAACUGGGAAACUUGAGUGCAGGAGAGGAGAGUGGAAUUCCUAGUGUAGCGGUGAAAUGCGUAGAGAUUUGGAGGAACACCAGUGGCGAAGGCGACUGUCUGGUCUGUAACUGACACUGAGGCGCGAAAGCGUGGGGAGCAAACA
rnacentral:rRNA from 1 species